rnacentral:rRNA from 1 species
GUGGGGAAUUUUGCGCAAUGGGGGAAACCCUGACGCAGCAACGCCGCGUGAGUGAUGAAGGCCUUCGGGUUGUAAAGCUCUUUUAGUGGGGAAGAAGCCCUCCCUGGCUAAUAUCCAGGGGGUCUGACGGUACCCACAGAAAAAGUUCCGGCUAACUACGUGCCAGCAGCCGCGGUAAUACGUAGGGAGCAAGCGUUGUUCGGAAUUAUUGGGCGUAAAGAGCGCGUAGGCGGUUCGGUAAGUCUGACGUGAAAUCCCGGAGCUUAACUCCGGAACUGCGUUGGAUACUGCCGGGCUUGAGUGUGGGAGAGGAGAGUGGAAUUCCCAGUGUAGAGGUGAAAUUCGUAGAUAUUGGGAGGAACACCCGUGGCGAAGGCGGCUCUCUGGACCACAACUGACGCUGAGGCGCGAAAGCUAGGGGAGCAAACGGGAUUAGAUACCCCUGUAGUCC